UGGGGAAUCUUGCGCAAUGGGCGAAAGCCUGACGCAGCGACGCCGCGUGAGGGAAGAAGGCCUUCGUGUUGUAAACCUCUUUCAGUAGGGACGAAGCUCCUCGGGUGAAUAGCCCAGAGGGUGACGGUACCUACAGAAGAAGCCCCGGCUAACUACGUGCCAGCAGCCGCGGUAAUACGUAGGGGGCAAGCGUUGUCCGGAUUUAUUGGGCGUAAAGAGCGUGUAGGCGGCCAGGUAGGUCUGCUGUUAAAACUCGAGGCUUAACCUCGAGAGGUCGGUGGAAACCAUCUGGCUAGAGUCCGGAAGAGGAGAGUGGAAUUCCCGGUGUAGCGGUGAAAUGCGCAGAUAUCGGGAAGAACACCCGUGGCGAAGGCGGCUCUCUGGGACGGUACUGACGCUGAGACGCGAAAGCGUGGGGAGCGAACAG
rnacentral:rRNA from 1 species